AUACGUAGGGUGCGAGCGUUAAUCGGAAUUACUGGGCGUAAAGCGUGCGCAGGCGGAUUAUUAAGCAAGACGUGAAAGCCCCGGGCUUAACCUGGGAAUGGCGUUUUGAACUGGUAGUCUAGAGUGUGUCAGAGGGGGGUGGAAUUCCACGUGCAGCAGUGAAAUGCGUAGAUAUGUGGAGGAACACCGAUGGCGAAGGCAGCCCCCUGGGAUGACACUGACGCUCAUGUACGAAAGCGUGGGUAGC
rnacentral:rRNA from 1 species